CCUACGGGAGGCAGCAGUGGGGAAUAUUGGACAAUGGGCGAAAGCCUGAUCCAGCCAUGCCGCGUGUGUGAAGAAGGCCUUCGGGUUGUAAAGCACUUUCAGUGGGGAAGAAAGCCUUGGGGCUAAUACCCUCGAGGAAGGACAUCACCCACAAAAGAAGCACCGGCUAACUCCGUGCCAGCAGCCGCGGUAAUACGGAGGGUGCGAGCGUUAAUCGGAAUUACUGGGCGUAAAGCGCGCGUAGGCGGUCUGAUAAGCCGGUUGUGAAAGCCCCGGGCUCAACCUGGGAACGGCAUCCGGAACUGUCAGGCUAGAGUGCAGGAGAGGAAGGUAGAAUUCCCGGUGUAGCGGUGAAAUGCGUAGAGAUCGGGAGGAAUACCAGUGGCGAAGGCGGCCUUCUGGACUGACACUGACGCUGAGGUGCGAAAGCGUGGGUAGCAAACAGGAUUAGAUACCCUAGUAGUC
rnacentral:rRNA from 1 species